UAGGGAAUCUUCCGCAAUGGGCGAAAGCCUGACGGAGCAACGCCGCGUGAGUGAUGAAGGUCUUCGGAUCGUAAAACUCUGUUAUUAGGGAAGAACAAAUGUGUAAGUAACUAUGCACGUCUUGACGGUACCUAAUCAGAAAGCCACGGCUAACUACGUGCCAGCAGCCGCGGUAAUACGUAGGUGGCAAGCGUUAUCCGGAAUUAUUGGGCGUAAAGCGCGCGUAGGCGGUUUUUUAAGUCUGAUGUGAAAGCCCACGGCUCAACCGUGGAGGGUCAUUGGAAACGGGAAAGCUUGAGUGCAGAAGAGGAAAGUGGAAUUCCAUGUGUAGCGGUAAAAUGCGCAGAGAUAUGGAGGAACACCAGUGGCGAAGGCGACUUUCUGGUCUGUAACUGACGCUGAUGUGCGAAAGCGUGGGGAUCAAACAGG
rnacentral:rRNA from 1 species